UACGAAGGGGGCUAGCGUUGCUCGGAAUCACUGGGCGUAAAGCGCACGUAGGCGGUUUGUUAAGUCAGGGGUGAAAUCCUGGAGCUCAACUCCAGAACUGCCUCAGAUACUGAGGAGCUCGAGUCCGGGAGAGGUGAGUGGAACUCCGAGUGUAGAGGUGAAAUUCGUAGAUAUUCGGAAGAACACCAGUGGCGAAGGCGGCUCACUGGCCCGGUACUGACGCUGAGGUGCGAAAGCGUGGGGAGCAAACAGG
rnacentral:rRNA from 1 species